rnacentral:rRNA from 1 species
CUACAUGCAAGUCGAGCGGACAGAUGGGAGCUUGCUCCCUGAUGUUAGCGGCGGACGGGUGAGUAACACGUGGGUAACCUGCCUGUAAGACUGGGAUAACUCCGGGAAACCGGGGCUAAUACCGGAUGGUUGUUUGAACCGCAUGGUUCAAACAUAAAAGGUGGCUUCGGCUACCACUUACAGAUGGACCCGCGGCGCAUUAGCUAGUUGGUGAGGUAACGGCUCACCAAGGCGACGAUGCGUAGCCGACCUGAGAGGGUGAUCGGCCACACUGGGACUGAGACACGGCCCAGACUCCUACGGGAGGCAGCAGUAGGGAAUCUUCCGCAAUGGACGAAAGUCUGACGGAGCAACGCCGCGUGAGUGAUGAAGGUUUUCGGAUCGUAAAGCUCUGUUGUUAGGGAAGAACAAGUACCGUUCGAAUAGGGCGGUACCUUGACGGAACCUAACCAGAAAGCCACGGCUAACUACGUGCCAGCAGCCGCGGUAAUACGUAGGUGGCAAGCGUUGUCCGGAAUUAUUGGGCGUAAAGGGCUCGCAGGCGGUUUCUUAAGUCUGAUGUGAAAGCCCCCGGCUCAACCGGGGAGGGUCAUUGGAAACUGGGGAACUUGAGUGCAGAAGAGGAGAGUGGAAUUCCACGUGUAGCGGUGAAAUGCGUAGAGAUGUGGAGGAACACCAGUGGCGAAGGCGACUCUCUGGUCUGUAACUGACGCUGAGGAGCGAAAGCGUGGGGAGCGAACAGGAUUAGAUACCCUGGUAGUCCACGCCGUAAACGAUGAGUGCUAAGUGUUAGGGGCUUUCCGCCCCUUAGUGCUGCAGCUAACGCAUUAAGCACUCCCCUGGGGGAGUACGGUCGCAAGACUGAAACUCAAAGGAAUUGACGGGGGCCCGCACAAGCGGUGGAGCAUGUGGUUUAAUUCGAAGCAACGCGAAGAACCUUACCAGGUCUUGACAUCCUCUAACAAUCCUAGAGAUAGGACGUCCCCUUCGGGGGCAGAGUGACAGGUGGUGCAUGGUGUCGUUCAGCUCGUGUCGUGAGAUGUUGGGUUAAGUCCCGCAACGAGCGCAACCCUUGAUCUUAGUUGCCAGCAUUCAGGUGGGCAAUUUAAGGGGGAUGCCGGUGGCAAACCGGAGGAAGGGGGGGAUGACGUCAAAUCAUCAUGCCCCUUAUGACCUGGGCUACACACGUGCUACAAUGUGAGCAGUAACAAAGGGCAGCGAAACCGCGAGGUUAAACCAAUCCCACAAAUCUGUUGUUCAUAUUCGGAGAUGCAGGUUUGUCACA